AUGUCAGAUCCUAUAUCUUUAUGUGAAGUAUUUUACUUAAAGGUCUGUGUGCAUUCAAAUUUUUCUGGGUAUCAGGAACCAAUAGGAAGAGUGAUCUCAUUUCAACCAAUGGAAAGCAAGUCCUCAGAAGCUUGGAGAUCCCCUUCAGAGGUGCUGACUCAUUUCUCCAUCCUAACUAAGCAUGUGUUGCCGGAAAAAACCACGAAAUAGAAUUUGGAUUACAGAAUAUAUGAAUCUCAUCCUUGUUCAUGUAUGCAAUAACAAACAAAAGAGAAAUGCAUCCUGGGGAAAGUAAGGAUGAAUAGUUAUAUUCAUCGUGGGCCUAUAUCUAGGAAAUCUAGAAGAAAUCCUCCAUCUCAGUCUUCUGAUGGCUGAUUAUGAUUCUGUGCUGCCAACUGCUCUGGCUUGAAGUGAUAUUUGAUGUCAUGUCAGAUUAAGAAAAAUCCUUUUUUCAAACCUUCUGCCAUAUUGACCUAACUAGAUCAUAAUUUCUAUCAUUGCCUUCAUAAAAAUUAAAUUAAUCUUCGCUAAUUUCAGAAAGUAUUAUAAAUAUAAAUAACUCUCAAGAAUCUUUUUGUCUUUGGUAAAGCCCAAUCAUUUAUCUCAGUUAGAUUUGCAAAUUUCCUUAAUGUUUUUGUUUCUUAUAUUCAACUUAUAUUCAUAAAAUAUUCAUUAAUAAUAUUAAAUGAACCUCUACUUUUGAAGAAUCCACAUAUUAGCCAGUAAUUGAAUUCCUCUCCAACUUCCCACAUCACUUUCUUAUAUGAAGCUUAUGCUCUUUUGAUAUAUUUGAUUACAACUCAAUUAAUUAAAAGUAGUUUUAUGUGCUUCAGUAUGCUUCAAACUACUGGAAAAUCAGUAGUUCCAUGUGGCAAACAAUUAUGAAUAAAAAUUACAAAUAUCCUCCUCAUUACUUCAGUAAAGGAAAUGCCACUGUAAGAAUUGUCUGGUUUCAUAUUUCUGUUCCUACCACAAUGGGCAUUUGAGGCCUGGCUAUAGUACAAAAUCUUGCACAUUUUUUCUAUUGUUGGAAAUUUCUGAGUGAAAAAAUGCUUAUAUAUACAUACUGAGACUUUUGAGCGUAAAUAUUGUUUAAUAAGUAUGCAUUUAUUUAUAUUGUUGGAAAUUCCUGUGCCAAUGGUAACACAUAUUUUCAUGGUCAGGAACUGUAUGAUACCUGGAUGCCUAGUUUUGAAAAAAAAAGUACUCUGAUCACUGCCUUGAUUUUCUAAUUUCCAAACAAACCUCUUGCUGUCUGAGACAACUACCUGGCUGUCUACAACACAUCCAUAAGAGAAAAAUUGGAUCAUCAAGAUAACUCAAAUAAUACAUUGGUAAACUGUAUGUCAUUGUAUCCUUAUUCCUCUCUAGAUAUAAUGUGGCCAUCGGUGUUCAUCCAAUUUAAGUUUUAUAUUCUAAGUAAUGUAUGUGAACAUCAGGCUAUUCUUCUGUCCUACCUACACAUACAAUACAGUUAGAGGAGAAAAGAGGAAAUGCAUGUAUAUUCUGUAACCGGCAAAGUAUGAUAUUUGAUAAAAACAAUGGAAGUACAAUAUGCAACUAUAAAAUAGAUAUGUCAAACCUGCAACUAACAGGACUACAAAACAUCAUGGUGAACUUGACAACUUUAGGAGCUGAUUCAAAUGCUACAAUUUAUCAAAAAUUAGCCCUUUGUGAGCUAUUACUUAUAGCAUACUGAAAAACAUGUCUGAAGUUUUCACUGUAUUUUUUUUCAGUAAUACAGACAUAUAUCAUUGACAGGAAGUCAAACUUUUCCAAUGUAAUAGGCUAUGUUAUCACACACGACUUGGAAAAUAGUGGACCCAAAGAAGAACAAUCAUCUGCAUCUUCAGUGAAGCCAUAUAAUUUCUAGCUGUUUCCUGACUAUUUAUCCUUGUAUCAAAUACAAUAUUACAUGUAACUUUCAUGAAAAAUAAAACAAAACUCUUCAGCUUUAUUACUCAAAUACACAAUUGCUCACAGGGCAAUGUAUUCACAAUGACUUAUACAAUCCCAUCUUUUGAAUCCACUAAUUUCACCAUUAUUCUUAGACUCAGAAAAUAUUGCAUGCAAUUGUCAUAUAGUUUAUUAUCCAAAGGAUAGUAAACACAGUUUAGAAAAUUUGAAGGACAUCAAAAAAUGAGAGCAAAAGAACAAACAAAAAAGCUUAACACAUGUACAUCACAAGUUGUAAAGCCAAAUAAGUUGAAAUCUCUCAAAUUCUCACACUUAGCAGAAAAGUCAGGGACACAUACUGGAUGCUGAAAUAGAAAGUAUCCAUAUCUCCUGUACAAUAAUAUUGAUAGGCCUUUCAAUUACAAAGAUCAAUGUAAAGAAUGACUAUGUUUAAUCGUGAUGUUUGGUUAGUUACAUGUACAUUUAUUUUUCUGUGGCAAGAGAUAGUUUAUUCAGAAGCCAAUAAAAAGUGACCAUAUUCUGAGAAUACAGAUUUAGUUUUUUUUUCCACUUAAGUGUUAAGAAGAAGUAGCAAUUUUAUGAACUUUUUCUAAUAACAAAACUAAUGAAUCCAUGAAUAAGGACACAU
rnacentral:lncRNA from 1 species